rnacentral:rRNA from 1 species
ACUAAGCGUACACGGUGGAUGCCCUGGCAGUCAGAGGCGAUGAAGGACGUGCUAAUCUGCGAUAAGCGCCGGUAAGGUGAUAUGAACCGUUAUAACCGGCGAUUUCCGAAUGGGGAAACCCAGUGUGAUUCGUCACACUAUCAUUAACUGAAUCCAUAGGUUAAUGAGGCGAACCGGGGGAACUGAAACAUCUAAGUACCCCGAGGAAAAGAAAUCAACCGAGAUUCCCCCAGUAGCGGCGAGCGAACGGGGAGGAGCCCAGAGCCUGAAUCAGCAUGUGUGUUAGUGGAAGCGUCUGGAAAGGCGCGCGAUACAGGGUGACAGCCCCGUACACAAAAGCGCAUGUGUUGUGAGCUCGAUGAGUAGGGCGGGACACGUGGUAUCCUGUCUGAAUAUGGGGGGACCAUCCUCCAAGGCUAAAUACUCCUGACUGACCGAUAGUGAACCAGUACCGUGAGGGAAAGGCGAAAAGAACCCCGGCGAGGGGAGUGAAAAAGAACCUGAAACCGUGUACGUACAAGCAGUGGGAGCUGAGGGAAAGGCGAAAAGAACCCCGGCGAGGGGAGUGAAAAAGAACCUGAAACCGUGUACGUACAAGCAGUGGGAGCCCCACCACUAAGCCAGUGGUGAACUCCACAUACGCAUCCUUUGCUGAGGAUACGGUUAACGGAGCGCAAGCGACGUUCAACCGCAAAAGAAGCAGAGGGGGCUUAGUGGUGGGGUGACUGCGUACCUUUUGUAUAAUGGGUCAGCGACUUAUAUUCUGUAGCAAGGUUAACCGUAUAGGGGAGCCGGAGGGAAACCGAGUCUUAAUUGGGCGUUAAGUUGCAGGGUAUAGACCCGAAACCCGGUGAUCUAGCCAUGGGCAGGUUNAGGGAAACCGAGUCUUAACCGGGCGUUAAGUUGCAGGGUAUAGACCCGAAACCCGGUGAUCUAGCCAUGGGCAGGUUGAAGGUUGGGUAACACUAACUGGAGGACCGAACCGACUAAUGUUGAAAAAUUAGCGGAUGACCUGUGGCUGGGGGUGAAAGGCCAAUCAAACCGGGAGAUAGCUGGUUCUCCCCGAAAGCUAUUUAGGUAGCGCCUCGUGAAUUCAUCUCCGGGGGUAGAGCACUGUUUCGGCUAGGGGGCCAUCCCGGCUUACCAACCCGAUGCAAACUGCGAAUACCGGAGAAUGUUAUCACGGGAGACACACGGCGGGUGCUAACGUCCGUCGUGAAGAGGGAAACAACCCAGACCGCCAGCUAAGGUCCCAAAGUCAUGGUUAAGUGGGAAACGAUGUGGGAAGGCCCAGACAGCCAGGAUGUUGGCUUAGAAGCAGCCAUCAUUUAAAGAAAGCGUAAUAGCUCACUGGUCGAGUCGGCCUGCGCGGAAGAUGUAACGGGGCUAAACCAUGCACCGAAGCUGCGGCAGCGAGUAAUAGCUCACUGGUCGAGUCGGCCUGCGCGGAAGAUGUAACGGGGCUAAACCAUGCACCGAAGCUGCGGCAGCGAACGUAUCACUUAAAGCGAUUCAGCGGGUUACGAUUGACGGAGCGAAGCGACGUCAAAGCGUAUACAAAGUCGAGUCGGUUUAAGGAUACGUUCGUUGGGUAGGGGAGCGUUCUGUAAGCCUGUGAAGGUGGCCUGUGAGGGUUGCUGGAGGUAUCAGAAGUGCGAAUGCUNCUAAAUGCGGAAGAGAUAAGUGCUGAAAGCAUCUAAGCACGAAACUUGCCCCGAGAUGAGUUCUCCCUGAGACUUUAAGUCUCCUGAAGGAACGUUGAAGACGACGACGUUGAUAGGCCGGGUGUGUAAGCGCAGCGAUGCGUUGAGCUAACCGGGUUGGGUAGGGGAGCGUUCUGUAAGCCUGUGAAGGUGGCCUGUGAGGGUUGCUGGAGGUAUCAGAAGUGCGAAUGCUGACAUAAGUAACGAUAAAGCGGGUGAAAAGCCCGCUCGCCGGAAGACCAAGGGUUCCUGUCCAACGUUAAUCGGGGCAGGGUGAGUCGACCCCUAAGGCGAGGCCGAAAGGCGUAGUCGAUGGGAAACGGGUUAAUAUUCCCGUACUUGGUGUUACUGCGAAGGGGGGACGGAGAAGGCUAUGUUGGCCGGGCGACGGUUGUCCCGGUUUAAGCGUGUAGGUGUGUGUUCCAGGUAAAUCCGGUUCACUUUAACACUGAGGCGUGAUGACGAGGCACUACGGUGCUGAAGCAACAAAUGCCCUGCUUCCAGGAAAAGCCUCUAAGCAUCAGGUAACAUCAAAUCGUACCCCAAACCGACACAGGUGGUCAGGUAGAGAAUACCAAGGCGCUUGAGAGAACUCGGGUGAAGGAACUAGGCAAAAUGGUGCCGUAACUUCGGGAGAAGGCACGCUGACAUGUAGGUGAAGUGAUUUACUCAUGGAGCUGAAGUCAGUCGAAGAUACCAGCUGGCUGCAACUGUUUAUUAAAAACACAGCACUGUGCAAACACGAAAGUGGACGUAUACGGUGUGACGCCUGCCCGGUGCCGGAAGGUUAAUUGAUG